GUGUAGUUGACCGCAAAAAUUGUGGAAGAUUCUGCAGCCACAUGUCGCCUCCAACAGAAUUAAUGAAAAAGUCCAUCAUCCUGUUUGCAGAGCAUACACCCUCAAAGACUUUAUAGUGGGUUAGGUGGUGGGAAUGUGGAGUUGUAAGGGGUGCACAGAAACUGUGUCAAGUAGGUCCAAGCUUUUGCAUCACUACAAGUUAAAGCAUGUACAUAUCUGCAUUGUCCCUGCACAUUUAAGAUAUGGAAUGCUCUUAUUGUCCACCAAAGUAAAAUCCACUCCACAGGGGUCACUCGC